AGAGAUUUAGGAUAACCAAACCAAAAGCCUUCAAAGCUUCAAAUAGAAGUGAAAAUCUUCUAAUCUCUG
rnacentral:tRNA from 1 species